AAGUGAUGGUGUACACAGAUUUCCGGCCUGUUUAUUUAGUUUUCCUCUCGCCUGGACUUUAGUUUCAGAAUGGAGGAUUACAUAUCCAAACUGAAACAAUUUU